UAAGCAGAACUGGCGAUGCGGG
rnacentral:snRNA from 1 species